UCUAAAGUAUUCGUGAAUCCUUCGCGGGAAGGCAGAAGAAGCGACAGAGAGGAGGAGCAUCAUGGGCAAAGACUUGGAUGCCAUCGAAGUGCACGGCUAUGCCGCCAAGGACACCACAGGCCAGCUCGUCCCCUUCAAAUUCACAUGCAAGUAUGUGAUUGUCCAUGAAUGUCUUGUCGUUUCGCAAUGGAACGAUUCAGUGAGUUGAAUUACGGUGCGGGGGGUGACUGUUUUAUGCCAUUUCCUUCCAUUCUAUACGAAUAUGUGUUGGUCUCUUAUCUGCAGUGGUCUUUGGAUUGAUGUGUUCAGGCAACCCAGUCCAGAGGAUGUAGCGUUUAAGGUCCUAUACUGCGGUAUUUGCCAUUCUGACUUGCACCAAAUUCGAAACGAAUGGCAGAAUGCCAAAUACCCUAUGGUACCUG
rnacentral:lncRNA from 1 species